CCAAACACACUUAGUGAAAAUCGUAACAUUCAUCUUCUGUAUUCUUUCUCUCUCCAAUCGAUUCAAUUUUUCACAAGGAACCAGAGCGUUCCUUCAUCUCGAACUGUUUGAAUUGGCCGAGUCAAGCUUCAAGCUCCUGGUAAUCGCACCAUCUUCUGUGAUGAUCGUUAAUCUAAUCAUCAUCUUCGAUUUAAGGAUUUUAAUUUCAUGAUAGCUUUCUAAAGUAAAUUGGUGAUAUUUCAAUUGGAAUUCUGUGUAAUUGUAUGUAUCGGAGAUUCGGAGUGUAAGGAUUGGAGUACAUGGUUCAGAUGGAAUAUUUUGUAUCAGUUUUAGAUUGGUUGAAGAACUAUAUCAAAGUGAAGGUCGAAAAGAAGAAUGGAAGGGUUUAUUAUUUUACUGAAUGAUGGGCUUUAAUGAAGGAUUAUUAUAAUAUCCUAGGAUGCUCUUGGAUCACUCUCAUAUAUGCAAAUCGCUUCCUCUUUCUCUUUCGCGGCGUUACUUGGAAAGAAGAAGAAUUUAUCUAUCCUAGAUACAGUCCUCCUAAGCGUAUGCUAUUGCAACACCUUUCUCCAGGUUCUUUGAGGAACACCAUCAUUCCUAACGCCCUUGAUGUUGUUUACUUUCUUCCAAGGAAGUUUUACCACUCAUUUGAGAAGUCGUUGCCAAAAUCUGAUGUCAACUCAGGUUUUUUGGUAUGAUGUCUUUUGAAUUUGUAUGUCUAUGUUUUUUUUUGGCUUCAUUUUUUGUUUUUAUCUAUUUGUGUUGUGUGCUCAAUGCUGCCAACAUAUCACACAUAAUCUUCACAAAGAGAGAAAGAAUAUGACUGCUGAUAUAAUUUGGUUUGAUAUUUGAAAUUAUAACGAUUUGAGAAUAAACGCAACUGAAGUAUUCAUUCCACCAUUGAUGCCGCAUUCUACCUUUAACUUGAUGUGCAGGCUAUUUUUUUUACUGUAAUCACUGUAACUUGGUCUGUUAUAUGCUUCAACUUUGUUUGUACUUAUUCUUCAGCAAUAUUAAUUGAUUCAAAUGUACUGCUGAUUUAGAUUAAAUUUAUUUGUUAGGGGCAUGAAAUUCAAUUGACUUUUCCCAUGAAUCUGAUAUCCUCCGAAAACCACUCUAUAUACAAAUAUGUUAUAAUGAUCCGAUAUAGAUAACGAUCACGAUGAUAAAGUCAUUGUUCCUCUAUAUCCAAAAAUACUAAGAUGUCAUUUCUCAUGAAUCUCAUAGUAAAUAUUUCUGAAUAACAUUCAUUCACAAUUUUUUAUAUUGUGGAAAUUAAUUUUGACACCCCUCCCAUUAAUCCAAUUAUUCUGAAAAUCCUUAUUACCUUCUAAAAUCUACCAGCAAGUUUUUUAGGGAUAAGGUUUAACACAAGAUGCUUUCAGAAGUGAACUGCAUUAACGAACAGGACCAUUCAUUUUUAUGCAUCAUAGAUUAAUAUAAGCCAUUUUGUAAAGUUGUUGCAGGCAAGCUGCAAACUGAAUUAAACAAGGAGUUUAAGCAGAUAUGCACCCAUGAAUGGUGCCCUAUAGAACAGAAGUAGUAAAUGCAUGUUUUUUGCUCAAUGCACUUAUCAUUAUUGCAAAAAUCCUUGAUAUACUAAAGACAGCUACUUCAGUUUAUAUUUGUGCAGGGCUCGAGGUAAAUUCCUGUUACAUGUGUUGUGUGCUCAAUUAUAGCUACUCAGCAUCCACAAAUGAAAUUGAAGAUAAGCACUGGUAUAAGUAGUGUGCUCAAUGUA